AAUCAACGCUGGCGGCGUGCCUCAGACAUGCAAGUCGAACGCGAAAGGUUCCUUCGGGAGCCGAGUAGAGUGGCGCUCGGGUGAGUAACACGUAGGUAAUUUGCCUUUGGGUGGGGAAUAACAAUCGGAAACGGUUGCUAAUACCGCAUAAUGCAGCGGCUCGACAUCGAGACAGUUGUUAAAGCGGGGGAUCCUUCGGGACCUCGCGCCUAAAGAGAAGCCUGCGGCGGAUUAGCUAGUUGGUGAGGUAAUGGCUCACCAAGGCGACGAUCCGUAACCGGCCUGAGAGGGCGGACGGUCACACUGACACUAAAUACGGGUCAGACUCCUGCGGGAGGCAGCAGUCGGGAAUUUUGGGCAAUGGGCGAAAGCCUGACCCAGCAACGCCGCGUGAAGGAUGAAAUCCCUCGGGAUGUAAACUUCGCAAGAACGGGAAGAAUAAGCGAGAGUAAAU
rnacentral:rRNA from 1 species